GCCGAGCAGGGAGGGGGCGCAGGCCGACAGACAGGCUGGCGGAGAGAGAGGGCGCUGUCUUCCUGGCAAAGCAGCCUUCGGCCUGCAGGAACCGAAACAAAAAAGGAACCGGGAGGGCCGGGCCGGGAUUUGGAGGAGCAGGGACCAGAGUGGCAGAGCACAUUCUCAGGUAUAGCCCUCCCUAGCCUUCUCCCUCCCCAAAUUGGAGGAGUCGGUGUAAGGAACUUUGCAGGCGAGUGAGGUGCUCCAGGCAACAAGGAAUCCGGGUCCCUUUUCCUAGUGAAGGCUACGCACUCUGUGUCCUGGGACCUGCAAACAGAAAACCGCGGUUUCUCGAAGAACCUCAGCAAAUGGUCUCACGAAGUUUGUCGGCUCCUUAACCCAGGAAGAACGAAGACAAGGAAAAUUCUCUAUUUUAAUCCCGGGCAGUUGGCCGGGGAGCACUGAAAAAGAUCAGAAACACCCCAAAUCCAGCUUUUAAUCACUCCCCGUCCAGAUCCACAAAUAUGAAAAUUAUCUUAUUGAGAAAUUGUUAUUCCUUUAUCCCCAAAGUCCAUGCCGCUCUAACACCUACCGAGGACAAUGUGUACUUGUCUUCUCAUAAGCAUAAUUAAACCAAGCAAAGCAGGACAUCAGGAUCCCAAACCAGAUAGAUCCCACUUAGUAGUGAGCUCUCUUGAAAGAUCCUUCUAGCAUCCCUCACUGAAGAACCCUUCACGUUUUACAAGCCAGAGCCCAUCCAUCGUCUCAGAUCUUUGGGGAGUGAUAUGUCUAUUACAAAGGAUGAUUGCACAUAUUAUUGGAACAUGG
rnacentral:lncRNA from 1 species